AUGUUUUCUAGUCUUGUUGAUUAUGGCAGGUUUUUACCAAGACUUUUUCUGCUACAAGUCACAACAAUUUUAGAUAGAAAUGCAUUUCUAUUUGAUAAUACUCAAUUAAUAAGUACAGACUUCAGAGUAUUAAAAACUCAGUGUUUAUAUGCUCUUCUCUUGCUUUUCUCUGAAGCUUUGUUUGCCCUCGAACGCUGUACCAUGAACACUUUCAUGAACCUUCCUGUUCCUCUUUCCACCUCUCUUUGGACAGUGAUUGCUUCUCCUCCAUUUCUCCUGCUGUGUGCCAUCUGUCCACACUUGUGCAAUAAGAUCAAUAUCCUGUCAGACUUCAUCAUGUGUCCUCUUUAGUAUCUCAUUGUGUAAAUCUGCAUAGCUGUAAAUCAGAUUUAUUUUUUUUAAUUUGAAAAAAUAAUAAUGAAUUCCUCAUCACAGCAAAGAUGUCGUUGUUACUGUGUCAGUCCAGCACAGAUAAUGAAGUCAAUAAGGGAUCUCUGUUAUGCUUGUAUCUGGCCAGAAAAAUUAAAGUUUUAGAAGUUAAUGCCACCAGGACAGUUGAGGAAAACAGCUGCAACAUAGGACCUG
rnacentral:lncRNA from 1 species